UCNCUUAGAUUUCAAAGGGUGCUGCAGUC
rnacentral:piRNA from 1 species